AAGACUAUACUAUUAGGGAUCGUUUCUAUAAUUUGCUACUAGAGAAGGUUCUCUAAUCAUGUCAAGAACCCAAAACCAUAAGGCGGAAGUGCAGUGUUCUCUUCUGAGCAUGAAGCUGGCUCUAAGUGUUGUUUUUGGCACUGCCUCUGCCUUCAUAAUGGUUCUUCUCCUUUGGGGCAGUAAGAGGGAGAGGACAUACUCUGAGUGGU
ensembl:snoRNA U3 Small nucleolar RNA U3